CCUACGGGUGGCAGCAGUGGGGAAUAUUGGGCAAUGGGCGCAAGCCUGACCCAGCAACGCCGCGUGAAGGAAGAAGGCUCUCGGGUUAUAAACUUCUUUUAGCAGGGACGAAGCAUGUGAUGGUACCUCAUUAUUAAGCCACGGCUAACUACGCGCCAGCAGCCGCGGCAAUACGUCGGUGGCAAGCGUUAGCCGGAUUUACUGGGUGUAAAGGGCGUGUAGGCGGGAAAGCAAGUCAGAUGUGAAAACCAUGGGCUCAACCUGUGGCCUGCAUUUGAAACUGUUGUUCUUGAGUGCUGGAGAGGCAGGCGGAAUUCCUAGUGUAGCGGUGAAAUGCGUAGAUAUUAGGAGGAACACCAGUGGCGAAGGCGGUCUGCUGGACAGCAACUGACGCUGAGGCGCGAAAGCGUGGGGAGCAAACAGGAUUAGAUACCCGUGUAGUC
rnacentral:rRNA from 1 species